AUGGCUGAGGAGAGAGUUGCGACGGUGAGCGCUGAGAUUCUCCUUAGUUGCCCGGCCAGUGCAAGGCAGGCUGGCGGGUGGCCUCUGUCCCAUGCAGCGGUUCCUGGAGAGAGGCGGAGCUGGGUGCCGAGCGGCUCAAGAGAACUCAAUUUCCUGCAUCUACUGAGUCUCAAAACCCCAGCAGAAAAAAGGUGACUUUUGGCUUUCAGUUGAAGAUCUUAGCCGUCACUGAGGUGAGUGAACUGAUUUACUGCUUAAGUCUAUUUCCUUCCUUAAAGGAGUCUUCAUUGAAAACUUUACCCAUUUUGGGGUGGCCAUAGCUGAGGAUGAGUUUUGUCAACAACCUGAGCCGAUAUACUCACUAUGUGAGAAGCUUGAUCUCAGUUUGAUAUCUGGUUUUAGAAUAAUUUUUAAUAGAAUAAUUUAUUAUGGUAAAAUAUACAUAAAAUUUACCAUUUUUAAGUGUGUAAGUCAGUGGCAUUAAGUACAUUUACAAAGUUGUGCAACCGUCACCACUGUCCAUUUCUAGAAGUGUUUCAUCAUUCCAAAGAGAAGCACUGUACCCAGUAAGCAAUAAAUCUCCACAUCCUCUUGCCUCCCCAGAUCCUGGUAAUCUCCAUUCUAUUUUCUGUAUCUAUGAAUUUGACUAUUCUAGGUUUUUCAUAUAAGAUGAAUCAUACCAUAUUUGCCCUUUUCUGUCUGGCUUAUUUGACUCAGCAUUUUCAAGGUUCAUUCAUGUUGUAGCAUGUAUCAGAAUUUCAUUCCUUUUUAAGGCUGAAAAAUAUUCUAGUGUAUGUAUAUAUCCCAUUUUGUUUAUCUGUCUGUUGAUGGGCAUUUGGGUUGUUUUCCUUAGAGUCUUUAUAUGUCAGUAAUUCCUAACGAAUUUAAAGGUUGUAGAAAGUAGGAACUUUGUAGAUGUUCUAGAAAUAUGUCAUUUCCUGUACUAUAUAUAAUAAUGUAUUCUACAGACUAAUUACUGUGUAUAUAUUUGGUUCUCAUAAGUGAUUUUGUAGAUGCUAUACAUGCUCUUGAGUUCAUUAAUCUUUCCUUUUGCUAAUUUUGGUCCUUGUGUAUACAGAAUUGUAGAGUUACAAGGUAAUUUAGUUGUUAUCUAAUUUACCCUGAAGUCUACAUGAAACCACUCUCACAGAGUCUUUGAUAAGUAGUUACCGAAUCUCACUAUUUCUACUGUGAUAGUGAAUGACUUUCAUUGAUUAGCUUUCUGAAAGAAUAGUUUAUCUUACUUGUCUUGGUAUCCUCAGCUCUGAGUCUAUUUGUCUAUUGUAAUCUGGCUUUUGCUCUACCACUCCACUGAUUAAAUUGAUGAGCUAAGCAUUUUUUUUUUUUCCUCACUGCAACCUCUGCCUCCCGGGUUCAAGUGAUUGUCUUCCCUCAGCUUCCCGAGUAGCUGGUAUUACAGGCGCUCACCACCACACCUGGCUAAUUUUUUGUAUUUUUAGUAGAGACGGGGUCUCACUGUGUUGGUCAGACUGGCCUCGAACUCCUGACCUCAUGAUCCACUCGCCUCGGCCUCCCAAAGUGCUGGGAUUACAGGUGUGAGCCACCGCGCCUAGCCCAAUUCUGUUUAAUUUUUGAGGAACAAUGUUAACUUCUAAUUUAAAUGGAAGGUAGUAUAUAUCUAAUUUUUCCCUAUUAUUUUUAAUUUCAAUGCUAGUAUAUCUUUAAAUCUGAAGUACGCACUUGGAUUUUGACAGAUAUGUAUACUCAUGUACAUAUUUAUAUUCCUGUAAUCAUGAGAUCAAAUUAAACAUUUUUAUCACCUAGAAAGUUUCCUCAUGCCUUUUUCCAGUAAGUCUUCUGCUUCACUUCCCCAGAUGCAACCAUCAUUCUGAUUUCUGCCCCUAUAAAUUAAUUUUGAACUGUCCUAUAAGUGGUGCUUGAACUUCACACAAAGGGAGCCAUACAGUAUCUACUAUUU
rnacentral:lncRNA from 10 species